AGUGAACGCUGGCGGUAGGCCUAACACAUGCAAGUCGAACGGCAGCACAGGAGAGCUUGCUCUCUGGGUGGCGAGUGGCGGACGGGUGAGGAAUACAUCGGAAUCUACUCUGUCGUGGGGGAUAACGUAGGGAAACUUACGCUAAUACCGCAUACGACCUACGGGUGAAAGCAGGGGAUCUUCGGACCUUGCGCGAUUGAAUGAGCCGAUGUCGGAUUAGCUAGUUGGCGGGGUAAAGGCCCACCAAGGCGACGAUCCGUAGCUGGUCUGAGAGGAUGAUCAGCCACACUGGACCUGAGACACGGUCCAGACUCCUACGGGAGGCAGCAGUGGGGAAUAUUGAACAAUGGGCGCAAGCCUGAUCCAGCCAGACCGCGUGGGUGAAGAAGGCCUUCGGGUUGUAAAGCCCUUUUGUUGGGAAAGAAAUCCAGCUGGCUAAUACCCGGUUGGGAUGACGGUACCCAAAGAAUAAGCACCGGCUAACUUCGUGCCAGCCGCCGCGGUAA
rnacentral:rRNA from 1 species